rnacentral:rRNA from 1 species
GAUCCUGGCUCAGGAUAAACGCUGGCGGCGCACAUAAGACAUGCAAGUCGAACGGACUUAACUCAUUCUUUUAGAUUGAGAGCGGUUAGUGGCGGACUGGUGAGUAACACGUAAGCAACCUGCCUAUCAGAGGGGAAUAACAACGAGAAAUCGUUGCUAAUACCGCAUAAGCUAGUAGCAUCGCAUGAUGUAGCUAGAAAAGGAGCAAUCCGCUGAUAGAUGGGCUUGCGUCUGAUUAGAUAGUUGGUGAGGUAACGGCCCACCAAGUCGACGAUUGGUAGCCGGACUGAGAGGUUGAACGGCCACAUUGGAACUGAGAAACGGUCCAGACUCCUACGGGAGGCAGCAGUGGGGAAUAUUGGGCAAUGGGCGAAAGCCUGACCCAGCGACGCCGCGUGAGGGAAGAAGGUCUUCGGAUUGUAAACCUUAGUUAGCAGGGAAGAAGAAAGUGACGGUACCUGCAGAGAAAGCCACGGCUAACUACGUG